GCUCAUCUUCUAAGGUUGAGAGGAUCAAAUGGAAUGAUUGAUAGAUUCAGAGCGCGCAGCAUAGCCUGCUCAGGAGCGCCCUCUACUGUUUUCUUUUUGCUGGCGUGUCUGAAGAGCAGUUGGGCGGUUUGAGAGGGAGCCAUCCAGGCGCAGGAGGGAAGAGAGAAUUUUCUGGCCCCACUAUGCGAGCGGGAAAUGUCCCCUCAAGACCCGGCUCCAUCACCACGCUCACCAAACCAAUGAAUGAAUGACGCCGCUCGGGGCACUAGGAGGGGACGAUGACGCCUGCACUGCUGCGCGCCUGCCCACAGCCCUGCCAGGGGAGACCCAGGCGGCCACCAGACCCCCUCGGAGCUGCUGCUUCCUCCAAGCCCAGCCCGCUGAGGCCGCCCCCGGACCUUGUCCCCUCCCCGGCCUGUGCGCUGGCGCCCCCCCCCGGCUUCUCCCUCGGAUCUUUCCACACCUGGCUCAGGUGUUACCUCCCGGGCUCCCCGCAGGGUGUCCGCAGGGGUCCUGCCACGCUGCUCACGCGUGGGCGUCCUGGCGCGUGACCCCAGCUCUCAGGGCGGUUGAUGACUGCGGUCCGACACACCCAGCCCCCGGGGGCUGCUGCCUGGUGGUAUCUCCCUCCUGUAACACCACACCCCAUCCCCAGUCAGGGAGGACAAAGCGCUGGCUUCCUGGGAAGCCCCAACAGCCGCCAGCUACCCGGACAGAAUACCUCCUCCUCCCCCAGCCCGGCAUCAAACACUUUCUCCACACGUGCUCAUUUUCUGGAAGUAACAGGUGCUGAUGACGAUGUGAAGAAGGGAUCACCCUACUCUUGUUUCAUGGAUGCUAUACUGUGUCAACAGCUGGAGUGAUUUUUUUUUAAAGGUGUAUUUAUUUGAAAGAAUGAGAGGAGAGGAGAGGAGAGAGAGAAGGAGAAAGAGAGAGAGAGAUCUAUCUACUGGUUUCCUCCCUAAAUGGCCAGAGCUGAGCCAGGUCAAGGCCAGGAACUCCAGUGGGCCAUACACAGAGACCACCUGUGCUGUUUUUUAAAAAAAGAAAGCCCUUUGCCAUCUGUCCAGAUAUGUGAAGAGAUUCCAGUCUUACCAAGGCGCCCACUCACAGCCCCAGCAACAGAACAAUGGACAUGUUCUCUCGGCAUAAGAUGGGCCUCCCGUCCCCUCCCCUCCCCCCAGACUCUCCCCUUGCUCUGCGUGGACGCCGCCUUCUCAGCAACCUCAGGUCACGCCUGCCCACCUUGGCCUUGGCAGUACAGCGCAGCCACCCAGUGACGGGCAGCACACUGCCUCUCACCAUUUUCUGUGGCAGCCAGCGCUGCAGCUUCCAAUCUUGCUGGUUUCUCCUCUGUGCUGGCUUUGCAACUCACCAUUGUGCUUCUCACCAUUUCCUUCGAUUUUGAUUCAAGGCCGCAGGUUCCCGGCAUUUUCCCCAAGGUUCUGUGGUUGCUCUGUGUCCACAGCACCACCGGGGCAGCUGGCACACGGUGUGCACUCACAGACCAGUCUUAGGAGUCGAAGGAUUUUUUAGAAUCUGCGGAAAUUUGGCGUCAGUCUUUCUCUGAGGAUUUCUUUCACGCUCAUGGUUCUGUAAGGGGCUGGAGGUGAGAGACGGUCGUGAGGAACUCAGGAGGAGCUGGGUACUUCUCGUCUGUUGGGCCGGGACUGUUCAUUACCCUGAGCGCCAUACACGUCCAUCCUUGGGAUCCUCCUCUUCUCCUCUGUGUCUGGAGACACGGGAUACUCUCUUCUCUCCUUUGUAGCUUGCUCAGUCGUGUGUGACUUUGCUGUGUGCUGCCUUGCAAGACUGAUCAAGGCUCUGGUCAUUAGUGAGGAGUGACACGUGUCGUGAAUUAGCGAGAAGCCCAUCAGUGUCCAGCCCAGAGCUGUCUCUGGACGCCUCCCGACUCACCCCGACCCGUGUGAGGUCCUUUUCUGAAUACACCCCGACGCCUGUCCUGGGUGCUACAUCGGCCAUGCAUUCAUGUGCUACAGUUGCCAUGCAUCGGUUUUGGACGCCUCUUUCAGUAAACAUGAAGCGCCAUGCUGGGGACCAGGUCUCUUUCUUUGCUCUCUCCUCUGCACGGUGCCCAGAGCACUUGGGGCUCAAGGACCAGCUGUUGAGCCAACGAAUGAAGGCAUGACGGCCUGUCAGAGCCCAGCUGCUCAAAGGUGUGGCUGAUGGUGUCCAUCCAGGGUCAACAGCUCCCACGCACAGCUCACCUUAUUCUCCCGCCCAGACGUAAGUGCCCCGCGACCUAACAAGCGAUCAGGAAAACGCGCAUUUCCCAGGCAGGCACUUUCUGAAGUUGGCUCAAGAGGGGGGAAAUGAACAUCCGACAUGAAGUUAAUUUAUAAAUCAGUUUAUUUACAGAUUUUACCCUUUCUUAAAGUACAUUUUAGUUAACAAAUCUAUGUACACAGGUGUACAUGGGGAUGCAUCCCGGUUAUUUUACAGAUCAUACUUACACGCCACACCCUUGAGUCUGCUGUGCAUGGCUGCACUGGGUGUGACUGUUGGCUGAAAACGGCCUGAUGCCCAGGCUAUUUACACGCACACAGUAAACGGGUUUGUUUUUUCAUGUCUGCACAGUACAGUACACGCGAGGAGGCCAGGCCCCCCAGAGAACGCUUUGCAAUGUGUUACCAAGAAGGCUUUGCAAAGUCCAAAAGGAAAAGCUGUCACACAGAGGUUAAUUAAAAUGACAGAACCUCCUUUACAUCAGUUUACAAUUGUUUCUUCACAUUUUUAUAAUACAAAGAUAUUUUAUUGAAUUGCUGCACAACCAGUUUAAGAUGAUUUGUAAACAUGUAAUCCCUACAAUUUGCAUUAAACAUCAUUGUAGUUGCUAUCA